rnacentral:lncRNA from 1 species
GCUGGAGUGGUGCAAUGGCACAAUCUCAGCUCACUGCAACCCCUGCCACUGCAACCCUUGCCUCCAGGUUCAAGUGCUUCUCUUGCCUCAGCCUUCCAAGUAGCUGGGAUUACAGGCACCUGCCACCACACCUGGCUGAUUUUUGUAUUUUUAACAGAGACGGGGUUUCACCAUGUUGGCCAAGCUGGUCUCAAACUCCUGACCUCAAGUGAUCUGCCUGCCUCAGCCUCCCAAAAUGCUGGGAUUACAGGUGUAAGCCACCAUGCCCAGCCAGGUAUGCAUUUCAUAGUGUAUGAAUCAUACCUCAAAAUUUAUAAAAAUAAAAAAGGAUUUUAAAAAAUGAACAGCCCUUUAGGUAUGGGAGGAGGCGAGGAGUAAGAAAGGUGAAUGGACUCUGCAUUACCACUUGCCGAUCGCUAGAUGUUACCAUGUUACAGUGGAAGGAAUGCAAACAAUAAUUUUUCCCAUUUUUUUUUUUGUUAUGUCCACCAUGUAACCGGACACACAGAAUUUUUUUUUUUUUUUUUUUUUUUUUUUGAGACGAAGUCUCACUCUGUCGCCCAGGCUGGAGUGCAGUGGCGCAUCUCGGCUCACUGCAAGCUCCGUCUCCCACGUUCACGCCAUUCUCCUGCCUCAGCCUCCCGAGUAGCUGGGACUACAGGCGUCUGCCACCAUGCAGCUAAUUUUUUGUAUUUUUUUUUUUAGUAGAGAUGGGGUUUCACCGUGUUAGCCAGGAUGGUCACGAUCUCCUGACCUCGUGAUCCGCCUGCCUCGGCCUCCCAAAGUGCUGGGAUUACCGGCAUGAGCCACCAUUUCCGGCAACAGGCAGACUUUUAACACAUUCCUUACCUAAACUUUUAAAAGGGACAAAAGAUAUAUGCCUUUGGUUUGGGAGAUGACGAAACAUAUGCUUUAAUGACUAUUGGGUUGGAAUCUUCUUGAGAGAGGAUCCUUCUUAGCCUAGACUAGAGUCUUCAAAAGCCCACAGUGCUUCGUAAAGUUUCAUACGUGGAAGAGAGAAGGAUGUUCCACUGGAAAAGCAGAAUUGCAGCUGAGCUGUCCUGAAAUGCCCAGCACUCUGUGGAGACGCGGAGGAGGUUUCCUGGGACAAAGUGCUGAACCAGCUACAGCCACAAGCUGUCUCCACCAUCAGAUGUGGCUUACCUGGUUCCUGAGUCAAUUCCAUCCAGAUGGUGAAGCCAAGGCCUGAAGACCUUUCCUGCAAGGUCGCAGAGGAAGAGGCAGAAGAAGGACCAGAACCCAGCUCCCCUGACUCCCUAUCCAGUGCUCUUCUCAUAGAUUACAUUGCUUCAGCAUCCACCUGGCUAUUGCUCCAUCCAGGGGUUACAGGAGUCACUGACUGUUUUGGUUGCUUCUUGGUUGGAGGAUGUUGUGCCUCACCGAUGAGAGCCGGAAGCAAAGGUACCAGUUCUUAGAGGAAGCAUAGGAAUGUGUCCCUUCCUGCUCGGGUCUCUCAACUGAACUCAACCCUUCCUUGAUUGAUUGACAAGCAUGUUAUCUCUCAUAAUCCCUGCCCGGUAAGGGCUGAUGUCCCCAUUUUACAGAUGAGGAUAUUGGAGCUCAGAGAAGUGAAAUGAUUGCUGAAGGUCACACAGCCUGGCUUCAAGCCUCUCGGGCUCCAAAAGGCAUCUUCUGUUCUCUCCGUCAGGAAGCCUCUUUUGGAUGAUUAACUGAGAUUAAAAAUGAAAAGACACAUGAAAGAAAGGUCCUUUUUUUCAACCUGACAAGAACUAAGAAUGCCUCUGUAUUCCAGGCACCCAGACCAGGGUGGGCUGGAAAGCCAGCCAGAGAGAAAGCAGGAGAAAGAAAGCAUGUUCUAACAGGAAGGUUAAAGCACCCUGGGAUGUGAGUUGGGGUGGAGAAGUGAAGAGGGCAGUUCUCACAGGGGCAGAGCUUGGUUUGGGGUAGGCUAGGAGCUGGGACCAGAAGAGGGACAGGGAAGGGUUUAUUGUGGGUCCACGGCCCAGCUCCACUGCAUGGGCCAUCUGACAGCGCCUGACCGAGCAGAAUGCCAGGGUGUAAAGACCCCACUAAUACCCAGUCAAUGAGAGGAACGCCAGAGGAGCACCCAGAAUGUUCUUGUGCAGAGGCAAAGAGCAGGAGUUUGUGACCACAGCUGGCAGUCCAUGUCAUCCUCACUGAACGACCUCUUAGCAUUCCAGGUGGACAAACAUAUUCACAGGUGCCCAGACAAAUGAGGUCUGCGGGAGAGAGACAGGCUACAUCAGAGGUAGACUAUGUAUUUACAUAAAGUAGGAAUAAGAGUCUCAGAAGCCUUCCAAAGCAGAUGUCUGCUUAAACCUCUUGAGCGGUGCCCUCCUUAGCCUGGAAGGAAGGCCUUGCUCAGGUAGUCUCAACCCGCAUCUGUGGUGUGAUUUAACACCUUCCCCUUCAUUCCACCACACUCUAUCUCAAACUAUCUGUUGUUCUCAAACACACAGAACACUUUCACUCCACCAGCUCUUCCACAUGUGAUUAUCUUUGCAUGUACUUCAUCUUUCUCAUCUACAGCCCCACCUGGCAAACUCCUACUCAGCCUUCAAAACCCUGCCUAAAUGUCACUGAAUCUGGAAGCCUUCUUCAUCUUCUCAGUACACAUUUGUCUGUAUUCCUGAUCCUUUGUCUAUAACUCUGGUAAAUCAUUGAUCCUAGUGCACUGUCAAGAACUUGUCCUAUUUUAUCUGUAGAUUCCCAGAGCCCAAUCAAGAUCCUCACAUGUAGAAAGUAGUAGAUCAAUUAAAUAAAGCAAGCACAGCCAGAAUGGCUGGGAAUUUGAGAGCAUGUGCCCCAGAAUGAUUGUACCUCAGACCUGGAAGAAAAUGUGGAGUUGAUCUAAGUAAACCUGAUGUUUGAACGCCUCAUCUGCAUUCACAGCCUGAGUCACUAUUUACAAUGACCCAGGAGUCUGAUGCCUAAAUGAUACAUUAUCUUCAUGCUCCAGUCUCCCACUGUCUGACUGCCCGGCUCUUCUUUGACGAGAGAUCUCACCGAUUGCGGCCCUUGGCCUUAGGAAGGGUGAUGGGCUGGGCUGGAGGCCUGGGCUGAGCUCUUGGGUGCAGGGGGAGCCUCAGCUUUUCCAGCCCUCAUCCUCAACGGCUGCCUCUGCCAAGGCCCUGGAGCUACAGAAAGCAAGACCAGUGCCUGAGUGCAAUAAAUGCUUUUAUUAGUCCUUUUAUUAAUGACGGUUGGUAUUUGUUGAGAAGCUGGGACAAUAGUUAUUCCAGUAAGAGGAUAUUAAGCUCCCUCAAACAGGCCCUGUAUAUCUAACAGGCUCUGGCCCCCAGCCUCCCCUGACGCAGCUCUGUUACACUGCAGCACACCCCUGGCCUCCCAGCAACUCCAAGAAGGGAGAGGAGGGAUGGGGGAGGUAGGGAUAAUCUGGUGUCAUUAAACACACAGGCCUUUGUGGAGGUUACCGUACACCAACAGCAGGAAGCUUUUUCUUCCUUCUGAGAGCAUAGGGAGCCUAUGUGAUUUUGUUUUUUUUUUGUUUGUUUUGGUUUUUUUGUUUUUUGCUACCCCUGUGCUCCUGGCUAUUUUACCUCCAGAGCUGCUGGUGAUAAGUUGGUAAAGGAGGACCUCCUUAAACCAUUUGUUAAACCAUUUGAGACUGUUCCUAGUACUUGUUUUAAGCUAUUUUACAUGAUUUUUAAUGUAAUAAACACAUUUAUAAUACUAUGUGGUGGCAAUGUUCUGAGUGCUUUUCAAAUACUAAUUUAUUUAAUACUCAUAACGUCUCAAUGAAGUAGGCACUAUACUUAUCCUUAUUUUAUAAAUGAGGAAAUGAGGCCCA